ensembl:snoRNA
AUUGCCCCUAGAAGCAUUGCAAGCGUGGCUGCGGUGUCACAUGUGUGUCAGUAGGCAGCAGAGAGGAGAGAGGCUAGGUCCACACUCAGUGCUCUGACCUAUAAACAUCAGAAUGAUUAGUAGCCUAAUCAGU